AAUUCCUGAAGACCUGUAUAACACUAUUAUACAUCACCUGAUUGCAACUCAAACACUUUAAUUAAGCUA
rnacentral:tRNA from 1 species